CAGAAGCAUAUUAAAAGAAGUCUCUCAUCAUGAGUCUGGAGAACAAAGCUCAAACAAGGUCAUCGAGGAAGGAUGGAGGAAAGUAACAGAGGGAAGGCUUUAAUCACCACAGGUGAAAUCCCUCCUAGCAGCUGGCUUAUGAAAUAAUGCGAGGGGAGGCCGUAAUGAGCUGAAAGCACCCUCAGCUGGAGAUAAAUAUAUGCAAAUGAGAUGCACAAACAAAGGAGCCCGGACAGAGAAAUAUCUGCAAUUCCAGCAAAAUGCUGCCUGCAGCUAGAAGAUGAACAGCUUUGAUAAAAUGGCUUCUUCAGAAAACAACCUUGAUCCUCUCUCAGAGAGAACCCAGGUUGCUGUCGAAGAGGCAGUGGAGAAAAAGGCAGAGAAAAUAGAUUGCUGUUUAACUUUUAACCUUAUGGAUAUCAUUAAAUAGAUCGUUGCAGAUUUAUAAACGGAGGAUAAACACUAUAAAGUUUAGAGGGGCUUUUACUCAAGGCACUAACUGCAGGGGUUUUAUGUCUGGCAAGAAAAAGAAAAAUAGACUUACCUUUUUCAUAAAAAACCAAAAAUAAAA